UGGUGGUGGUGGCGGUCGGGCCUGCCUCGCCACGUCUUGUCAACACUCAAGGACAGAUGUUCCUUUCAUCCUAUUUCCCACACCCUGCACCCUGCCCGCCCCCCUGCUUGCUAACCACGCUUUGGGAUGCCUGUCUGUGUGUGUGUCUGGCCGUGGGCGUGUGUGUGUGCGUGGGCGUGCUGUGUGGGUGAUGUGGGUAGCCCUCUGGCCUGCCCUGCCCAGUUUUUUGCUCUCUCUUUCUCUCUCUCUCUUACCUCUCUCUCCCUCUCUCUCUCACCUCUCUCUCUCUCUCUCAUACCUCUCACUCUCUCACCUCUCCCUUUUUCUCUAAAUUUAAGUGUGGGUUGGUGUUGGUGGUCACUGUUCACCCUACUGCGGCCCUGCCCAUCUUCAUCCCCCCCUCCCCACCUCCUCUUCUUCCUCCCGCUCCUCCUCCACCGGUCUUCCUCCUCCUCCUCCUCUUCUUCCCUCACCCGGCCUAACCUGACCUAAUAUGGUGUUUUUUUAAUUCAGCUCGUUUGGUUUGGUUAGGUUAAUUUUUAGAGGGAAAUUUGUGUUUUCAAGUGUGUUUUUUUCCAGUUUUUUCCUUUUUCUUCUUUUUUCUCCCUGGUUCCUUUUUUAUUUUUCUACUUGUCUUUUUCCUUUUCUUGUUUUUGUUUUCCCAUGUGUUUAAAAGUAGGAAAAUUUUGGUGUUUUUUUUUUUUUUUUUAGAUUUUUCCAUUUCUGUUUCUGUCUUUCUCUUGUUAUUCAUUAUUGUUUCCCCCCUCCAUGUUUUCCUUUCUAUUUUCUCCUUUCCUUUAUUCUCAUAGUUUUUAAAGGGGAAAGAUUUUAAAGUUGUCAGUAAUUUUAAGUAUUUUUUUGAAGAGUUUUUCUUUUUCCUUUUUAAUUUCCUGGCUGUUCCUCUUUUUUUUCCCCUUAAUCUCCUCCUUAUUACUGUUUCUCUCCUAUGUAUUUUCCUCUCAGCUUCAUUUUCCCCAUCUUUUCAUUCUUGUUAUUGUAUUUUUAUUCUUUAUAUUUCAUAGCACUUCGUUUUUUCCCUCAUUUCCUUCUAGUUACUAUUUUUUAUCAUUUAUAUUUUCUCAGCAGCGUCUUUUUUCCCUUUUCUAUCCUUUAAAUAAUCUGGCAGUUUCCUUUUUUUCCCUUCAGUUGCUUCUACUCAAUGUUUUUAUCCUUUGAAUAUCCUGACAGUUCCUUUUUUCCCUCUUAUUUGUGACUUAAAGUGAUAUUUUCAGUACAGCCAUCCCUCGUUACCUACAAUAACUCACCCGACUUAUCCAUAGUUAAGGAAAACCCAUAUACACUUAUCUGCCCCUUAAGAACACCCCUGCAUCCCCCAAGCCUCGUUGAAGUGACAAAAACAGCACGUACACAGUUACAAACACUUCAUUUAUCAGUUAACUAGAGGAAUCAAGAGAUGAGCACGGCUAGGCUGCCUCUCAUUGCCGCCUCUGUGUGGAUGAGUGGCCAGCAGCAGUGUGUGGAAAAGUGAAGCUGGGGAACUGAAACUGUGGUGAAGAGAGGAGGAGAUAGGAAGAGAGGAAGGGAUAGGAUUGAGUAAUGAGAGGAGGAGCAGGAGGAGGAGGGAAAUAAACUGUGGUGAAGAGAUGAUAGUAAGAGAGGAAGGGAUAGGACUUAGUAAUGAGAUAAGGAGGAGGAGGAGAAGAAGGAGAGGGAGGUGACAAACUGUGGUGAAUGAGUGAUGGCUGUAUUUGUAAACUUUUCACGGUUUUAAUACUUUUUAUGCAUGUUUGAAUUACUAAUCCUUCUAUCUUUCUUCUCUCCCUUGCCAGCAUUCCCAGUACACACAAAUGACUAGUGUUAAGAAAUUGUGUGUGUGUUUUUUUUCCAUAUUCAUUCAGUUCGUCAACCAGGAAAACUUUUUUGGUUAGUUCGUAAGACAGUUUUUCAUAACCCGUCAAUUUUUUCAAUUUUCCGUUCUGUUUUUCGUAACUUUCCGUGCGUUUUUCAUUUUGUGGUGUUCCUCUGGCCUGUUCUUCAUGGUGGUGUUACUAAACUAUUGUGGCGUUGUGUGGUGUAUUCUGAAACAUGCACCAAAAUACUAUUACUACUGCAUCUACUAUUACUGCUACUGUACUGUGUCAAGUGUGUGGCGGUAACUGAGGCAGGCAAGUACACAGGGAGACGAUAACACUGGUAGACUGACCCUCUCUCUACUGCACUGUGUCUUGAAGUGUGUGGCUGUAACUGAGGUAGGCGAGGACACAGGGACAUGGUAAACUGCUAGACUGAUUGUGUGUGGCAGUGUAGAAGUAUGAUAUAUCAGCAUAAACAGCUUUUUUGUAGCUUUUUCUUAUGUUCCUGUGAGUGAAGAGGCACAUACAGGUUAAUGGAGAUGCCCUGUUUUGUGUGGUUGUGUAGAAGCAGGAUAAAUUAGAGAAAACAUGGCCUUUUGCAGCUUUUCUCGUGUACAUGUGCUGUGGGAGUAAAGGGUUAGACACAUGGGUUAAUAAUAGGCAGGCUUUGUGUGUUAGUGAAGAAGCAGAACAUAAACAAGGAGAAAUAUGGCUUUUUUUUUAACUUCUCGUUUUUUUUUUAGGUUCUUAUGAGUGUACAGGUAGACACACAGGUUAGAUAUAGGCAGGGAUAGUGUAGCAGUGUGUGGGGUGCAAGAACAGACUCAUAAUUAGCUGUAUAAACACAACAAACUGGGAAAUGUGGGUCUAUGGGAGGGAAGGAGCAAAAACACAGUAUGAAAGGCAGGCUUGGUGUCGCAGUGUUGGGUGAAUAGGUAGACUGGUUAGCUGUGUAAACUUGAGAAGCAGGAAAUUGUGGGUCUUGCAGAGUGAAAGAGUUGAAACACACCAGUAACAGGGGCAAGGCUGGUGAUGCAGUGUGUGAGGUGCAGAAACAGACCCAUAUUUAGCUGUAUAAACUCAAGAAAUAAGGAAAUCUGUGUCUGUUUGGAGAAAAGAUGCAACAACACUGCCUCAAAUCAACACAGCCUCACAGAAACACAGCGACAGCCUCGUAGAAACACAGCAACACGACCUCACAAAAACAUAUCAUCAGCCUCACAAAAAACACAGCAAGAGCCUCACAAAAAAACACAGCAACACCCUCACAAAAACAGCAACACAUCUUCACAAAAACAACAACACAACUUCACAGAAACAGAACAACAAAACCUCACAGCGACACACAGCCUCACCUCGCCUCGCCCCACAAGACCGGACAAGGAAACAAAACCAUCGUAAUUUCAGGACGGUAGUUACAGGGAGCAUUACCGCCGUCUAAUUUAAUCCUGGCGGGAAGUUGGACGAACUUGUUUAUAAUUGGCACCGGUCGUCCUUCCACCCCGUCUUGUCCCGGCGAUAAUUUGUGCAGGAAAUAAGCGCAAUUUUACGUAACCCAACGCAACGAGGAGGAAGAGCAGGCUGCUGGGGGGUGACAUGAAGGAUGAUGAGAAGAAAUUUACCAACAUAGUGUCAUUUUUUUAUAUUCAGGCCAUUAAAGUUUGUGGGUUGCUGUGAAGUGAGCAUGAAUGUAGCUGUGGUUGUUGAAAUUGCCUCAGCGUCACUUGUUGGCCGUGCUGUGGUAACGUAAUGCUGCUAAGAUGACCACAGCAUUGUUUCCUAGUCGUGCUGUGCUGGUACGACCCACAGCUUCGUAUAAUCAAAGCGUCAGUGUCAUUUAGGCUUGCUGCGUUGCUAAAAUAACCACAGCAUUCUUGUCUAGGCUGUGCUGUGCUGGUAUGACCCACAGCAUCACUUAUUGGGUCUUGCUGUGCUGUGUUGCUAAUAUAAUCACAGUGUCAGUGUUACCUAGACUUGCUGUGUUGCUAAUAUAACCACAGCAUUGUUACCUGGCCUUGCUGUGCUGACAUAAACCGCAGCAUCACUAUUUGUUCCAGCUGUGUUGUUAAUAAACUGUAUAUUUUGGUGGAUAAGAUGACUUUAGUUGAUGGUGGUGGUACAAGAUGACACCCAAACUAACAAACAAUCUUUAUAGCUGAUAUUGGUAGUAGAAAGCAAGACCCAAACUAUCAAACGAUCUUUAAAGCUGAUAUUGAUGGUACGAGACGACACCCAAACUACCAAACCGUCUUUUUAGCUGAUAUUGGUGGUAGAAAACGACACCUAAACUACCAAACCAUCUGUGAAGUGUGGGUCAGUGAGCACCAGAUGGCCGAGAUGGUGACAUACUAGUACAGUGAAUAAAAUACCUUGAAUGUAUUUCUGGUAUUAAGCCACCAUCAUCUUCAGGUGCAUAACUAAACCUAAAAAUUUCCACCAGGUGUUUUUGUACAUUUUUGUGAAAGAGAAUGGGUGGAUGAUGAUUGUGUUAAAGUUAUUUGUGGUAUUAUCAAUUUUCCUAAAGAUAAAUAAACCGUUGCCUUGUGCCGUCUGCGUGUGUCAAGCUAUCGGCCACAAUCUUCUAUAUAUUAUGUUUCUUCUGAGUAGAUACCCCAGCGUUCUUGAAUUUUCUCAGUAUGUGGAGUUGUCCCUAUGUAACAUUGCAAGGUGGAUAGAUUCAUGUUACCCACAGUUUGCUUCUCCUUGCCAUGUAGCUUGAGGUUUCAUGCCUUGAACACCUUUAUGUAAAUCCUUCUUCAGCUUCAGGAAAAACUGGGGAACAUUGACACAGCCUCCUGCUUUGUCCAUUCGUAAACAAUGCCAGCAGAGGGUUGUGGCUGUUCUGCAUUAAAUUUUGUUUACACACUUCAACAGGAAAACAUUUCAGUGCAUUUUCUCAAAAUGGAUUCCUAUUUUACUGUAACUUCCCCCAAAAAUUGUAAUACAAGGUUGUUUAUUUACAAUGGUAUUUUGUGUAAGAUUUUAGGGUCAUUGUUUUUAUAUCUGACGUACAGGCAACCCACUUUUUUGUGCCUUUUUUUAGGAUGAUUCAAGUGUCGUCUUAUGCACCAGAAUAUGCACCAAACCACCUCCAUUGUCACCUGGCCUUGCUGUGCUGAUAUAAACCACAGCACUAUUUGGCCUUGCUGUGUUGCUUAUAUAACAGCAUAAAGCUUUGUUGUUCUAUGUUGUACUAAUAUAACCACAGUUACCUAGGCUUGCUGUGUGAACGUAACCACAGCAUCACAGGACAAUAUAGACAGCAGAACUAGACAGAAUGACGGAAAAAUUUGAUAGGUAGAAAAUAGGUUAGUGAGAUGGAAACAACAGAAAAUUAGGUGCAGGGAAAUACAUUGUUUCCUCUGUUUAUUCACACCAUGGGCCGACAGGGGUGAGUGUGUGACAAGCUGCGGGUACAAGAAUAAGAAAAACAAGAAGAUAAAGAUUGUCUAUAAAGAAAAAAAAUGCAGAUUGAGUCAGGUUAUGCUUUGACAUGACCGAGAGUGUGAUGAAGUGGUAAAAAUAAGUAAAAAAAAUUGAUUAUAUGGAUAAACAUAUUGUGAGACUAAGAGUGUGACUUAAGAGUGACAGGGCUGAGAGAGUGACAGGGGUGAAAGUGACAGGGUUAAGUGUGACAGGGGAUAAGAGUGUGAUGCAGUAUGGGUAGAAUAUAAUAAGCUCAAAAAGUGAUUAUAGGGAAAAAUAAUAAUAAGAGAGAUUGAGAGUGUGAUGAAGUUGAUACAGAAAUAACUAGCAAAAAAAACUGAUUAUUAACAAAAACAACAAAGAAUAUGAGGAGAGUUUGAUGAAAUGCUGGUACACAAAUAACUAACAGAAAAUUGAUUAUUGGGAAAAAAAAAAAAUUAAAAGCAUUUGAUUGAAAUACUGGCACAAGAAUAACUAGCUAAAACUUGAUUAUGGUGGAAAAACACAUAUUUAUAGAGCCAAACAAAGGGAGGGAGAGAAGGGGGUGGGGAAGUUAGGCCUAAACAAUACUGGGGAAAUAAAAUAUACUGUGCCGUUAUGGUGCCCAGCCAAGACGAACAAAACUAUCGACUUAUCCACCAGUUUGUACAGUCAGGCACCAUGCUGUGUUGGAAGGGCCGUAUUUAAAGUGUGUAGCAUCUCGUGGCACUUGUAUUAAUGAGCCUUGCAGUGCCAAGUUCAGGUGUUUUAAGGAGUCACGGUUUGGGAGUGCCAUGUUGAAAGUCACCCGUUUUCUGUGGCACUCUUGUAUUCCGAGUGUUGUAUUCCGAGUGUAGCUGUGCCAAGUUGAGGUGUUGGAGGUUAGGGAGUGCCAUGUCUAGUCACCUGUUUCCCGUGGCACUGUUGUAUUAAUGAAUGUAGCAGUGCUGAGUUGAGGUGUUUUAAGAAGUCAGUGUUUGGUAGUGCCAUGUUCAGAGCCGCUGUUGUAUUCUUAAGAGUGUUGCAGUGCCAAAUUGUGAGGCAUCUGAGGUGACGUACUGCUUGGAAGUGCCACAUCUGAAGCCGCUGGUGUUUGGCGGCAGUGUUGUGUCAUCGGUGUUGCAGUGCUGACCUGUGAGGCAUUAAAAGGUGCCGUGCUGCCUGUGGCUCUGGAGGUGGGACGGUUGAGUACUUUCUGUGUUUGUGUAGAUUUGAGACGCUUUGAGGUGUUACUCUUGUUAGUGGAGAGUUAGCAGGCUUGGGUCCCUGCACAUGUAGCCACACUCAGGCACACAGUCAUGUACGUAGGUACUUGUAGUCUGGUUUGAUGUUUCUGUAUUACAUACUCAGACUCAUACUCGGACUAAGUACUGGACAAUUUUAUGAGGAAUUCAGAGCACGGCCAGCAAAAUUCAGCAUUUGAUUUACAGGUGGAGGCAAGGUGAGGGUGACAAGUGUGCCUGGGGAGGUCAGGUGACGUGGGUUGGUGUCAGUGAGGUCACGUGAGGUGCAUCCGCCAGUGGGGGCAACGACCGGUUAAGGUCCCUUUCACAUGUGCAGUUUCUUGCCACAUCAUAAUGCAGUCUGGGCCUGGACAUGGCAGUGGACUAGCAGUUUGUACGUACCCCUUCACACCUCGGGUACGGGUGACUGACCAGUCCGGGCCAGGGUGUAGCUGUGGCGUCCCGCUGGCCUUGUCUGGUCACGUUCCUGUGUGGGGUGGCAGUGGGCUUUAAAUAGAAGUGUUCACAGUGUGUGGUUAGUAGCCACACAGACAUAGUGUGACAAACACAGGUGGUGCACUUCCACAAGAUUCAUCUCUGACAGUGGAGCAAAAUAUUGAUACUGAACAUUUAAUAUCAGUGGUAGAAGUGAGGCCUGUUUUGUGUGAUAAAACCCCGGGGCAGUAAAAAAGUUGAGAUGAAAUUGUUGCUCAUGGAAAGUAAUCCCCUGCAAUCCAUCCCGCGGUACUUGUUGCUGCAAGGAGACUGGAGAGACGUUUGUGUUUCAAAGUGUGCAAUAACUGGAUUAGUAUGUGGCAGCAGUCACAAGCAUUUCUGAUCCUGCAGCCGCAUCAACACAUGGUGAGGAACUGCAUAAUGUGAAAGGGGCCUAAGAUGUCUCGUGACCUGCCACUGAUAGAGGUUGUGAGAGCUUCACUAUCUGUAUUACGAUACACACACACACACACACACACACCCAGGAUAGCACCACUAGCCUUGCACACACACACACACACGUACACACACACACACACACACACACACACACACACACACAC